UACGUAGGUGACCAGCGUUGUCCGGAUUUACUGGGCGUAAAGAGCGCGCAGGCGGUCGUUCAAGUCGAGUGUGAAAGCCCCCGGCUCAACUGGGGAGGGUCAUUCGAUACUGAUCGACUUGAAGGCAGGAGAGGGAAGUGGAAUUCCCGGUGUAGUGGUGAAAUGCGUAGAUAUCGGGAGGAACACCAGUGGCGAAGGCGACUUCCUGGCCUGUUCUUGACGCUGAGGCGCGAAAGCUAAGGGGAGCAAACGGG
rnacentral:rRNA from 1 species